UACGAAGGGUGCAAGCGUUACUCGGAAUUACUGGGCGUAAAGGGUGCGUAGGUGUUUCUUUAAGUCUGCUGUGAAAGCCCCGGGCUCAACCUGGGAAUGGCAGUGGAUACUGUUGUGCUAGAGUGCGGAAGGGGCUACUGGAAUUCUCGGUGUAGCGGUGAAAUGCGUAGAUAUCGAGAGGAACACCUGCGGCGAAGGCGGGUAGCUGGGCCGACACUGACGCUGAUGCGCGAAAGCCAGGGGAGCGAACGGG
rnacentral:rRNA from 1 species